AAGGCGGCCCAAGGCCGCUUGAUGAAAGGAGAUAAGCUGGGGACCGUUUCCAGGAUCCCCGCGGGCCGACCGGGGCAGCCCGGGAGCCGAGGUGCGGCGGAGAGCCCGCGGAUCAAAGGAAUCUGGAGAGAAAGGGGAAGCGGGCGGCCGGCCCCGGCCGGCCUUCCCCCCCGCAGGCCACGCCGACCUGGGGUGGGGGGCUGCGGGCCGCGGGCGGGGACUCCGGGAUUUCCCGCCUGCCUGAGUCGGGGCCUACGCCGGCGCCCGCUUCGGGCGGCUCGGCCCGGAGGGGAGCUCCGGAGAGCCCGGGGCUCGCAGGUAAGCACCGGCGCUCCGCGGGCCGGGCCGGGGACGCAGGACAAGGCGCGGGGCCCACCCCGGCUGGCUCGGGAGUGGCGGUCGCGCGGGCCCGGCUCCCGUCUCCGGCGUCUCCCGGCUCCGGCGGCCGGGACCCCCCGCGGCCGAGCCCCUGGCCAGGCCCCAGGCCGGCGCCUUCGGAAGCGACGUCUGGCGGGCCGCGGGGCACGAGGGGGAGAGCCGGGAAGCGUAAAUCCCCGAAGCGCGCGGAGAUCCGAUUAGCGCGCGGCUAUUCAUUAGGCUGGGGGCGAUUGAAUUAGGUCCCUGGGCGCGGUCGCCGGCUGGGGGUGUGUGGCGCCGACCCCCGGGCUCUUGCCGUGGCCUCGGGAGGCUGGAGCAGCGAGCAGCGGCCCCAGCGAGUGUGUCGGGGAAGCGGGUGCCUCCGGGUCCCGGCCCCGCGGGUGCAGGCGGAGGCUGCCCGCUUCCCGCGUACACCGAGGACGGCCGGCCCGGCUCCGGAGAAAUGGCGCUUGAGAAAGGAGGGGAGGGGAAGGUUCCCGGACCCUGGGCAGGGACCCGUCGCCGGGGACCCGCGGAGCCCUCCGGGGAUGGAGGAGGCGCGAGCUGGAAGCGGCGCGCGAGCCCGAGCGCGGGGCUAACACCGUGGGGCCCAGUCUCUCCUGGCUCGGGAAAAUACGUAUACGAGAAAAAUCUUGGAUGCAACAAAAAGAACACCGUGGCCACCCGUGGUGUCCCAGAAGUUGCUCUGAGCUCCUCGCAUCAGGGCAGGUGCUCCACCUCUAACCGCCCUGUGGGGGAACGGGAGGCCCCAAGCCCCUGGGAGUCCUGGUCUCCUCUAGAGUGUGUUGGAAGGACAGCCGCUGGAAAGGCCCCUCAGAGCCCCUAAACCAGCCUCCCCUCCCCCGUGGGCAGAUUGUUCGAGGGUCCUGGAGCCUGAAUGAUGGGCCCUCGGCUUGCCCACCCCCAUCCCCAGUCAUCAAUCACCAUUUGAGAAAUGCCCACUGCCAGGGACAUGGGAGGGCAGAGGGUAGCUCGCGGGUGCGUGGCCCCUAUCUCCUCAAGCUGGUUUAGACCCUUCUGGCUCAGCCUCACCAGAUUCCUAGGAUGAGCACUGGCUUCAAAUCCCCCAAGUGCUGGUCCCUUCGUGUCCCCGAAAGAGGCUGCUCGCGUGGGCAAAGGCCCCGAGGCGUCGAGUGCGCCUUCCAGGGCAGUGCGGAAGCUCCCUGCCCUCCUCCUUCCUCCCCACUUCUGCCUCCUCCUCCCCCAGUGUUCACUUGAAGCAAAUUCUAGUGGGCUUUUUUUUUUUCAAUACUGUUUCAAAACAGUUGUUACAGCAAAUAACUGCAGACGGGUCUGCUGGACGCGGUGGAGAGGGGCUGGCAGCUGCCCAGCACAGGCGCCUGGCCGCUGGGCAGCUCCCGCAAUACCAAAAUAAGCUCCCGAGUUCCCCUGGAAGACUUGGGCCGCCGGGAGCUCAGGCUGGCGAUCUGCUCAGAGGAAACCUCCCUACUUUCCUUUUUUACUCUUCCUGCUGUCCAGAGCUAACAAAUGUUUUUAAUUUCAGAGGAACAUGGUGUGGGGAUCUGCAGACUUGCCUUCCACUGGGGAGAGGGCCAGCGAGGGGACAGAGGGGGAGGAAAGGAGAGGGGAUAAUAGACCCGAGGUCAGUGUUGAUGCUGGAGGGCCCAGGUCUCUGAAGUUCCUGCAGCUUUGCAGGUGAGCGGGCUGCAAGUGAGGCUAGGCCUGUGGACACCCAGUGGGGCCUGGAACAGUGCCAGGAGUGGCCUUGAACCCCACCUUGAUCCCUCUCCAGCAGGAUCUGGAGUCACUUCCAUGGGCCUGGCAUACACCACUCCAGAUUUGCCCUCUGGCCUGGGGAGCAGAUAACCCCCCGCCCCACAUAACCAGCUGCGCUCCUACACCUAGCAGGCCGGCUCACAUCACCCUUUAACGCACACUAUAUUCACACACACACUUGUGCACAGUCUUGAAUGUGUGCCCACACAUCUGCCUGCACACACUCAUGUGCCCACAUGUGAAUCACUUGGAAGUGUACACAAAACCAAACCCACAGCACAGAUGGGCAGACAGGUGAGCCUCGUGCAGCAUGUGACACUCCCACAUGCACAAGACAUGUGUGCAGAGGCAUAUCACACACGCAGAAGCACUCCCGAGAACUGCCUUCUCCCUUUCAGCCUAGGGGCCCCUGUUCCCCCACAACCGGGCCCAGCCCUGGAGCCCCCUCCAGCACUCCUCUCCCACCCCCACGCUCCCCAAGAGCAGCAGAUGUAGGUCUCCCGGCUCCCAAACCUCUGAGAUGCUGCUCUGUCUGAAAUCAUCAUAUAAAUAAUCAUUUUUUAAUACAAGGGGGUGGGGGUGUCAGGCAAGUUCCAUGAAAUUGUGAAUUAGCCGCUGCUCCAAAUAAAUGCCUGCUUCGGCCCGAGAGCAGCCGCGCUGCGCCCGCUGCGCCCCCAAUAAUCGUGUGUUGGGUAUCUCUCCAUUGUUCCCUGGGCCAUUAGUCAAAGGGCAAAUUAGAAACAAUUUCUUGACGACAAAAAUUGACUCUUAAUUCUUCCCACCAGAGGCGCAGGGGGACAAGUCCAGAGGCCAGGCCUGAGGCUGGGGCUGGCGGCAGGAGGGGUAGGCGGGGUAGAGGUGGGGUAGAGGUGGGGGAUCUAAGAUGGUUCACAGCACAGAGACCUCCCUCAACUGGAGGGCAGCAGCAGCUCACCCCCACCCCAGAAUCAGUGUUCCAGAGGACAGCUGGGGGCAGGGGGUUAGGAACAAUCCCACUCCCUCCUGGAAGAGGUCCUGACCCCCCACCCCACCCAUCUGCCUGUACGGGUCCCUCUGCUAUCGACUGGGGCGAGUUCUUUUCAUGAGGGCCUUGCCUGGUGCCUGGAGGGAACAGGGUGUGGGGGAAAGGUCUGUGUGUUCCCCCCUCACCUCCCCUGCUCAGCGGUGUGGCCUCUGGCUCUGGGGAGGAUCGGGAAGCCCCAGGGUCCGUGCCUUGGAGUGGGGGGACAGCCUUUUCUCUGCCACAGCUUCUGCCUUUGGAGGCUUACCCUUCCUAGGAGCAGAACUGUUGUGGAGGGGAAGAGGACGGCGAAGGUUCCGAAGGGAAGGGGGCUGCCCCCACUGAAAACGAAGCUUCCAGUCACAGCCCCUUCAUUAUUUAUCAGGACCCAGGGGAUGAGGUGGCAGGGGAGGGGGCUGCAUGGAGGGAGUGCCCUCACCCUCGUCCCCAGCGCCUGCCCCCUCCCGACCAGGCCUGGGCUGAGGCCCAGGGUAAGGGGGCUGAGGCAGGCCACAGAGGAGCAAGACUUGUCAGGGGCCAGACCUGGGUAGGAGGAUUGUCCUCCAGGCACACACGGCCCCCAGCCCCCCAGCCUGUCGAACUGGGCUCUCCCAGAAGGUCCCCGGCUCCAGCCCAAGCAGGGAGCCAGGUUGGGGGUGUGGGAAGGCAGAAGUCCCAGGGAUCCUGGGGGAGGCUCAGGUUGUACCUGAAGGCCACAGUCUCCUCGACAGACCUCGGACGAGGUUGUAAGUGUUUUAAAGAAACUAGAGCAGCAGAGAAGAGAGACUCAGAAGCCCGUGGCACGGCUUUCUCGGCGUCCCCUCCAGCGAGGGGGUCUCCAUUGCUGCAGUUGCCGGUUUUGUCCAACCAGGUCAGGAGGCUGCCCGGCCCCCUCCCCACUCUCAAAGUUGCUUGUUAAACACAGAGUCGUAAUUUGUGGCUAAAUAUAACUAGUGUGUUCUCACGGAAAGUAUAAUUCAGGGUGCUCAUUGUAUGAGGUUAUCAACAAGACCCAUCUGGGUUAAAUUAAAGUGAUUUUCAUAAAGGGCAGAAGCGCCCCUUUGCCUGGUUUCCCCUGCCUUUUUAUUAGUGACAGUGUUAUUGUUGCAAUUAUUAGAGGGGAUCAAGGAAGGUGGGAGUUGCCAGGGACCCCCAGGCUGAGGAGGGAGCCUCCCAGCCCCCCUCCACUCACCAUUGUCCUGCUGCCCCUCCAGCCCCCUGGUCACUGUCACCUCUGCGGCUGGAGGGCUGGAGAAAGGCCCAGGAGCCCAGGGAACCUCCACCAUGCCAGGCUGCCUUCCCUAAAGGCCGGCUCCUUCCCCCCAGGCAGCCAGUCUGGGGGUGGACCUGGAGGGGCAGGGUUCUCUGGGAAUCUCUGGGCCAAGGGAUGCGCUUUGGGGAUCUGCUGGAAUAAAGAGUAAUCGGUUUUCCUUACAGGAGGUUGACCCGAAACAGCCCUCCGUCUUCCUGCCCAUGAGGAUGAGGACAGGAAGCCAGACCCGGGAGAGAAAGCCCAGAUCAGACAGAUGGGGGUUGGGAGGGCCUAGUGGCUGAAACUGCCCUGCUUGGGGACAAUGCUCAGGCAGGACCAAUCCAAACGAGGGCACUGCUUAUGUGGUCCUUCCGGAGCAUCCUCCAAGGCAGAGCCUGGCUUCGGGCCCUCCCUGCAAGGACACCUGCCUCCACUCCCUGCCAGACCAGGCCUGGCUGCAGAGGCGGAGGGGCGGCAGGGCUGCCUGUCUCCACUGUUUGGCGGUGUUUACACGUGUCGCUGUCAGGGUGUCUGGACAGUGGGGGUCGGGGGCCUCCCGGGCCCAGACUUCCCCAGGCCUAUUCUCACACUGGUGAGAGGGCCCUAGGGGAAGGGUGUGGGCUGGGUGGCGGGGCCAGGCCAGCUGAGACCUACAGGACCGUGGAGCAUUUAGGUCUCCCACCCAACUCCACCCGGUCCUCUGAGCAUCAGUUACAGAGCCCAGGCAGCAGGAGGGCAGGGCCCAGCCCCUUAUCACCCAUCCUCAAGGCAGGCAGGAACCCUGAAGGCAGCUUCCACCAGGGGUUCCCUUAGCCCCCACCCUCCAAAAGCCCCAGACCCUGCCAGGCCUCACCCUGCCAGCAUCGUGGCCCCAGCUGACGGCUCCCAAGGGCAGGUGCUGGCAACACAAGCAGGAGCCCUCGGGGCAUCCCGCAGGGCACACACCAGGUCGCCCUGGGCUCCCCAAGCACCUCCCAGACCCAGCCCUUGGGUGGGUCCUGGCCCACAAACCCCCACGCCCUGCCCCUGAGAUGAGCCCCACCGCCCACCUGCCCUCCAGCCCUGGAGACCUUUCUCCCCCUUGGCCAUGGCUCCCAUGGGGAGGCUGCAGGCCCUCCCUGGGCUGGACCAGAGGGGACAGACUGUCUCUCCCCUGCGACUUCUGGGGGCACUGGAGUCCUUGGCCUGGUUACCUUCAGCAUUUAUAGCCCUCCAGUGAGUUAUUCCUCGGAGUUCUCACAGAGCAGCAUGCGCCUGCGGCAAAGCCCUCACCUCCAGCCCCUGGACCACCUGACUGCUGCCUCCCGCCUGGCGCCAAACACGGCCACCGCCUCUUUUGUUAACAGGACAGUUGAUCCAUUAAAUUAAAAAUCAUUCAAUAGAUUCAUUUUUUUUUUCUGGCCUGAACAAAUACGUAUUCCAUCUCAAUUCAUGAAGCAUCAGUACCCGCUGCAGGGGUAAUUCCCCAGGCGGGAGAGGAGUUUCGGGGAAAGUGCCCCCAAAGGGAGACUCCCCAGAAAUCCCUUUCCAAGCAGCCAAGGCAGGCAGGCCAGAGGAGCCUGCCCCGGGCCAGGGCCCAGACCCACGCAGCCGCCCGCUCUCCCGGCCACUUCCGCCGGGGCCUUUCCGAGCGAAGUCCAUUAGGGCCGGGUCUCUGCGCCUCCCCUACCCGGGGUCCGGGCAAUACGCAGCCCCGACCACCGUCCUCGGCCCGGGGGAAGCGCAGACACACACUGGAGGCAUUUUCUUCCCUCCGGAAUUGAUUGGUUUUUGUUUUUGUUUUAAUAGCAGGACUUUUCCAAGCAAAAAGUCUCCUGAGGCGGGUGGUAAAAAAAUCAAAGCCUCUACAUCCAAGCCCGGAACAAAAGCCCUUUGGAAAUCCCGCGGCGGGGCCGGGCGCGGGCGGAUGCGGCGGGAGGGGCGGCCGAGCGCGCCCGGGACCCGCGUCGGGAGAAGCCGCGCAGCGCCUACCGCGGAGGUCGAGUCUCGGCGGCCCCACCUGCUCCGGAGUCGGCCCUGUCCCUCCGUCUGGGGAGGCGGCCGGAGGCGCCAUCACCGCAAAUUUAUGGCCCGGGUGACGCGCUUCCUACUCCCACAGUGGGGCCCGGUGACAUUAAACAGAAAAUUGACGAGAGCGGAGCGAAACCGAAUCCGUUUCCCUCCAGGCCCGUCCCCCUCGCUUUUCGGGGAGGGGACCAGGGACGGGAGGAAGGGCGUCCCUGAGUUUGUGCGCUCGGGAGCCCGUGCUGGAGGCUUCUCCCAGAUUCCAGAGCCCAGGCAGCGUGCUGGGGGCGCGCGACCCCGCCCGGACCGCACCCCUUCGCCGGCCGCAUUUCGGGCGGAACCUCGGCUCGCGUUCCACGCGCUCGGGGCGACCAGGCAGAGUGGGGCCCCGCACCCGGGUCGCUCCCGCUCGGAGGGCCCAGGCCGGAUGAGGCUCCGACGCGCCCUCGGCCCUCCCUCCGCGCCCCAGCUCCGGGGAGCGCCCCGCUGCCUCCAGCACAGCGGGGGAGGGAGGACCCCGGCUGCCCAGCCCCCACCCUCGCCGCCGCGCCCCGCCCCCGGCCGGCGCAAGUGGGAGAAGAGAGCGAGUGACGAGCGGGGCGCGCCUGGGUGGCUGCCGGGGGUCGCUCCUCUGGCCUCGAGCGCCCCCUCCCUCCGCCCCCCGGCGCCUCCUGGCACCGAACCCGCCG
rnacentral:lncRNA from 1 species